UUGGAGGGCAAGUCUGGUGCCAGCAGCCGCGGUAAUUCCAGCUCCAAUAGCGUAUAUUAAAGUUGUUGCAGUUAAAAAGCCCGUAGUUGAACUUCAGGCCUGGCUGGGUGGUCUGCCUAACGGUAUUGUACUGCUCGGCUGGGUCUUACCUCUUGGUGAGCCAGCAUGCCCUUCACUGGGUGUGUUGGGGAACCAGGACUUUUACCUUGAGAAAAUUAGAGUGUUCAAAGCAGGCAUUUGCUCGAAUACAUUAGCAUGGAAUAAUAGAAUAGGACGUGCGGUUCUAUUUUGUUGGUUUUUAGAGUCGCCGUAAUGAUUAAUAGGGAUAGUUGGGGGCAUUUGUAUUGCGUUGCUAGAGGUGAAAUUCUUGGAUUUACGCAAGACAAACUACUGCGAAAGCAUUUGCCAAGGAUGUUUUCAUUAAUCAAGGACGAAGGUUAGGGGAUCGAAAACGAUCAGAUACCGUUGUAGUCUUAACAGUAAACUAUGCCGACUAGGGAUCGGACGACCUCACAUUGAUGUGUCGUUCGGCGCCUUACGGGAAAC
rnacentral:rRNA from 1 species